UACGUAGGGUGCAAGCGUUGUCCGGAAUUAUUGGGCGUAAAGAGCUCGUAGGCGGUUUGUCGCGUCUGGUGUGAAAAUCCGGGGCUUAACCCUGGACCUGCAUCGGGUACGGGCAGACUAGAGUGCGGUAGGGGAGAUCGGAAUUCCUGGUGUAGCGGUGAAAUGCGCAGAUAUCAGGAGGAACACCGGUGGCGAAGGCGGGUCUCUGGGCCGGAGUACUGACGCUGAGGACGAAGCGUGGGGAGCGAACAGGA
rnacentral:rRNA from 1 species